UACGUAGGGGGCGAGCGUUGUCCGGAUUUAUUGGGCGUAAAGAGAUCGUAGGCGGUUUGGUAAGUUGGAUGUGAAAUCUCCAGGCUCAACCUGGAGGGGUCAUUCGAUACUGCCGUGACUAGAGGUCGGUAGGGGAGUGUGGAAUUCCUGGUGGAGCGGUGAAAUGCGCAGAUAUCAGGAGGAACACCCGUAGCGAAGGCGGCACUCUGGGCCGAUACUGACACUGAGGAGCGAAAGCGUGGGGAGCGAACAGG
rnacentral:rRNA from 1 species